CUAUGCAAACAAGUUAGCUUGUUGGCAUGGUUUGUGUGGUGAAAUACUUUGGAUAAAUGUUAGCUCUGCAUAUAGCAGGGUGGAUGGGAACUUAAAGUACUCAAAGGAGAAGGGCAGUGCUAUGACUUUGGCAGGCACUUCAGACCAGUGAAGAUUUGUGUUGUUGAUUUCCAGUUUGAAAUGGAAAGGAUAAAUAGGAUAAGUAAUCAUUUGACUGUGGCCAUGCUGGAACAUCGCCUUUGAGUCAACGAAAUCAACCCCAGGAUUUAUUCUUUGUAAGCCUGAUCCUUAUUCUAUCGGUCUCUUUUGCUAAACCACCAAGUUAUGGAGACAAACACACCAACAUUGGUUGUCAAACGAUGGGGGGGGGGGGGCAAACACAGACAUAAAUACACAUACAUAAAUAUACAUACAUACAUAUAUAUAUACAAGACAGGUUUCUUCUCAGUUUCUGUCUACCAAAUCCACUCACAAGGCUUUGGUUAACCCGAGGCUAUAGUGAAAGACACUUGCCCAAGGUGCCACACAGAGGGACUGAACCCAGAAUCAUGUGGUUGGGAAGCAAGCUUCUUACCACACAAGCAAAAUCAAAUGUUGACUUAUACAUUCUAAUUUAAACAAUUCAAGUUACUUUUGUGGUAUAAUAAGCCUUAUAGGAAUAAACUUAACCUUUACUUUGUAAAGGUGUUUUUUUUAUGUGUACUACUACUACUACUACUACUACUUAGAGGUCAUGCCAUAAACAGUUGAACUCGCUCUGAACUAUUUUACUAAAUUCUUUGUUGUUUUCAAAAUUAAUUGACUAAAAGGCAGCUUAUUUCAAUAGAAAUAUAACAAUGAAAGGGUUAAUUGUAAACUGGUUUCAUAAUUUAAAAAAAUUUUGUUGGUGGUAAUUAAAGCUAACCAGGACUGAAUCUAUAUAAUGAUUUCAAUUGAGAAUGCAUAAAUGAUCAAUAGACUCUUAAAAUGAGUUAAUCUGUCACCUAUUUUGAAUGUAAAUGUGUACUUGGGAAACCUUAUUGUAUAACAUAGUCAUACACAUACACACAAUGUAAAGCUGCUUCUCAUCAUUCAAUCGAAACAUGCUAUAUUUUUUGCUUAUUUUCUUCCUUUGAGGGUUGACUUAAUCAUACCAACCCCAGUAAUUAUUUCAGUCUGCUACAUGCAAACAUGCAUGCACACAUGUAUGUGCAUAUGUGUAUGUGUGCAUGUGAGCAUGAGGCAUGAGCACAGACAUAGGUGUGUUGGUAUACAUUUCACCGUUCAACCACCUGAUUUUAGGUUCCUUCCCACUGUGUGGCACUUUGGCAAAAACGAUACAGAAGCCUAUUGUGUGUGUGUGAAUGUUUAUUUCCAUGUAUCUUCACAUUUAACACUGUUGGAGCAACAGUGAUGUUACAUUAACAUCUGUAAACAAUACGUCUUGUAUGUGGCAGCUUUGUCAGUUUCAAAGUGUGAAGAGAAACGGAAUAUAAAUACCUUACUUGAAAAACCGUUAAGGGUUGGCAAUAAGAAAGGUAUCUGGUCAUAGAAUGCUACCUUAGUAAAACUUGUGUCCAACCCGUAGCAGCAUGGGAAAAGCAGGUACAGAACACACACACACAUGCAACAGGCUUCUGCAUAUUUCACUCUACAAAAUUCCAUUCAUGAGGUUCUGAGCAGCUCAACAUGAUUGAGGUUAUAGUAGAAGAUACUAGCACAGUGAUCAAGAUAA